rnacentral:sRNA from 1 species
AACAGGCUUUGAAUAGAUAGCCUUUAUGAACCAUGCUUCGGAAUGCAGAGGGAGUCGGUACUUUUAUGAAUAUACAUCGUGCUAUUUGCUGUUUCCCGUAAAGAAAUAUCUCUUAACGUGAUCUCCCACAUUUUCGAAGCAAAAGGUUGUCAUUCCUGUGAAAGUCAGGAUGCAUCAAAGCAAUCUUCACAGCAUUUGUCGCUCCAAGGAAGAGCCUGGCCCAACUAGAGAAUCUGUGCAAACAGCUGUAUGAAACCACAGACACAACCACUCGACUCCAGGCAGAGAAAGCCUUGGUUGAAUUUACCAACAGCCCCGAUUGCCUGAGCAAGUGCCAGCUACUCCUCGAAAGAGGAAGUUCCUCUUACUCCCAGUUACUGGCAGCUACAUGCCUUACCAAGCUUGUAUCACGCACAAACAACCCCCUACCAUUGGAACAGCGAAUAGAUAUUCGGAACUAUGUGCUCAACUACCUUGCCACUCGGCCGAAGUUGGCUACUUUCGUGACACAAGCACUUAUUCAGUUAUAUGCCAGAAUCACAAAACUGGGCUGGUUUGACUGUCAGAAGGAUGACUAUGUCUUCAGAAAUGCAAUCACAGACGUCACAAGGUUUUUACAGGAUAGUGUUGAAUACUGCAUCAUUGGUGUCACAAUUUUAUCUCAGCUAACCAAUGAAAUUAAUCAAGCAGACACCACCCAUCCUUUAACCAAGCACAGAAAAAUAGCCUCUUCUUUUCGCGAUUCAUCAUUAUUUGAUAUCUUCACACUUUCCUGCAAUUUACUAAAACAGGCUUCAGGAAAGAAUCUAAACUUGAAUGAUGAAAGUCAGCAUGGCUUGCUCAUGCAACUGCUCAAGCUCACCCAUAACUGCCUCAACUUUGACUUCAUUGGCACUUCCACUGAUGAGUCCUCAGAUGACCUGUGUACAGUGCAGAUU